CUUGGUCAUUUAGAGGAAGUAAAAGUCGUAACAAGGUUUCCGUAGGUGAACCUGCGGAAGGAUCAUUACCGAGUUCUCGGGCUUCGGCUCGAAUCUCCCACCCUUUGUGAACAUACCUCUGUUGCUUUGGCGGCUCUUUGCCGCGAGGAGGCCCUCGCGGGCCCCCCCGCGCGCUUUCCGCCAGAGGACCUUCAAACUCCAGUCAGUAAACGUCGACGUCUGAUAAACAAGUUAAUAAACUAAAACUUUCAACAACGGAUCUCUUGGUUCUGGCAUCGAUGAAGAACGCAGCGAAAUGCGAUAAGUAAUGUGAAUUGCAGAAUUCAGUGAAUCAUCGAAUCUUUGAACGCACAUUGCGCCCCUUGGCAUUCCGAGGGGCAUGCCUGUUCGAGCGUCAUUACAACCCUCAAGCUCUGCUUGGUGUUGGGCGCCGUCCUCUCUGCGGACGCGCCUUAAAGACCUCGGCGGUGGCUGUUCAGCCCUCAAGCGUAGUAGAAUACACCUCGCUUUGGAGCGGUUGGCGUCGCCCGCCGGACGAACCUUCUGAACUUUUCUCAAGGUUGACCUCGGAUCAGGUAGGGAUACCCGCUGAACUUAAGCAUAUCAAUAAGCGGAGGA
rnacentral:rRNA from 2 species